rnacentral:rRNA from 1 species
UGGGGAAUAUUGGGCAAUGGGCGAAAGCCUGACCCAGCCAUGCCGCGUGAGUGAUGAAGGCCUUAGGGUUGUAAAACUCUUUCGCUGGGGAAGAUAAUGACGGUACCCAGUAAAGAAGCCCCGGCUAAUUUCGUGCCAGCAGCCGCGGUAAUACGAAAGGGGCUAGCGUUGUUCGGAAUUACUGGGCGUAAAGCGCGCGUAGGCGGCAUGCCAAGUUGGGGGUGAAAUCCCGGGGCUCAACCCCGGAACUGCCUGCAAAACUGGCAAGCUAGAGGGUGUGAGAGGAUAGUGGAACACCAGUAGCGAAGGCGGCUCGCUGGGCCAUUCCUGACGCUGAGACGCGAAAGCGUGGGGAGCAAACAGGAUUAGAUACCCCCGUAGUCC